GCCUUGCUAGCUCAAUCGGUAGAGCGUGUGACUCUUAUCAUCACAAGGUUGGGGGUUCGAGCCCCCCGUAGGGCU
rnacentral:tRNA from 1 species